CAAAAAAAGAAAUCACAAGGUUAAAAGGCAAAUAGUCCAGAAAACAUAUUUUUAAUAUACAUGAUAUUCAAGGAGUUGGUGUCCUUACAACUUAAAGAUACAUUAAAUUCUACAAGAAAUAUAUAUAUGGAAAAUCCAGUAAAAAUUUGAAUAAAGGACAUGAACAAAAUACUCAUAAAUGAAGAAACAUAGUCAAUAACCACAUACAAAUGUUCAAGAUCACAAGUACAAAGAAAUAAAAGCUAAACAUAAUUGUCUCUCCUACUUCUUUUUUUAUUAGAUAUUUUUAAAAAUCAUGACCAGAAUUGUCAAAAAUGUGGAGCAAUAUACAGGCAUCCUCAUAUAUGGCACCAGCAAUGACCGUGAGCUCCUGAAUUGGCAAGUUCAGUUCCAAGGCCUGGGAAAAGCCAGGGACAAUCAUAUGAGACAAAAAGAAACACGUGGCCAAGCAUCCCAGCACAACAAUCAGGCCUUAAUGAUCAGCAAGGUGCUUCACCAGGGGCCAGAGAAGGUGGCCAUCAGCAAGCCUGACACAGGAAGAGAAAGGCAGAGUCAAGAGAUGGAAAUGAGAAAAAAGAAUCCCAGUGAUCACCCUGGAGUUCCUAUGUCCAGCUAUACCUGAAACCGACUCCAUUUCUCAAUUUCAAAGGACAUAAAAGCCCAUGAAGUUUCUACUUUGCUUAGCUUAUUGGAACUGCACUUCUAUCAUGGGGAAGUGAAAGCUUCCUGACCAACCACUGUGAUCAGGAGCCUGACGUGGUAGGAGGAGCUUGGGACCUCUUGGGCCUGCUCUUCCUCAGUCUCCCAAGGGCUGGGCCACGUCUCACUUUCUCCAAGCCCCUUUCCCUCCUCUGUACAGUGCCCUGCACAGAAGAGGGGACCAGCAAAUGCUUGUUGGACUCCAUAAUGGUGCAUCGGCAGGGGUCUGACCCAAGUUCUCAGUGCCUCAUCUUAUAGAUGAGGAUAAUAACACAUGCCUUGCUUAGUUCACAAGAGCAACAUAAAGGCCCAUUGGUGUAAAGGUAAAUAAAAGCCCUUCAUAGCAUAUAAAGUGCUGAACA
rnacentral:lncRNA from 13 species